GGGGGCGUAAAGGCUUCGACGGGGAUUCGGAACCGAAAUAAGCGAGCAGCGUUGCGGACACGCUUUAAACGCCGUAACUUUAAAAUUAAACGACAACAAAACUGUUGCCUACGCUGCUUAAUUAAGCAGCCGUCUUUACCCGAAGUACCGCGGUCGGGAUAAAGGCGUCGAUUAGCGGUGAACGCAAGCCGAAGGGGGUCUCGACUCGGUUUGUGAUUUAGAGGCUACCGAGCCUUUUUGCCUGUCGUUUGGCGGAAGGGUGAGGGAAUUUUAAAUAAACGACUGCGCUCGGAGAAGGUUUUGGGAAAGAGUUUUCGGACACGGGUUCGAUUCCCGUCGCCUCCACCA
rnacentral:tmRNA from 1 species